GCGCUUUGUUUCCUAGGCACCAGCAUCUUGACAACAACCAAAUAGUAGGUAACUCAAAAUCAGCAGAACCGUGGCCUGAAAGCCCAAAACGUCAUUACAAUGUCAGGCUUUCUGGGUUCUCAACAAUCUUUGCGAACGUUUGAAGAAAGGCAGCCAAGUCAGCACCAUAGACAGUUCUGUGAUCAGCUGUCACAUUCACCAGCAUUUUACUUUUAACACAAAAGAAUCCAUCUGCAUCAGCCACCACAGU
rnacentral:misc_RNA from 1 species